GUGAGUGCCAAUGAGUGUGAGUGCAGGUGAGUGCGAGUGAGUGCCUGUGAGUGUGAGUGCAGGUGAUGCGAGUGUGAGUGAGUACUAGUGAGUGUGAGUGCAGGUGAGUGCGAGUGCGAGUGAGUGCCAAUGAGUGUGAGUGCAGGUGAGUGCGAGUGAGUGCCAAUGAGUGUGAGUGCAGGUGAGUGCGAGUGAGUACCAGUGAGUGUGAGUGCAGGUGAGUGCGAGUGAGGGCUUGUGAGUGUGAGUGCAGGUGAGUGCCAGUGAGUGUGAGUGGAGGUGAGUGUGACUGCGAGUGAGUGCCAGUGAGUGCGAGUGGAAGUGAGUGUGAGUGCCAGAGAGUGCCAGUGACUGUGAGUGGAAGUGAGUGCGAGUGAGUGCCAAUGAGUGUGAGUGCAGGUGAGUGCGAUUGAGUGCCAGUGAGUGUGAGUGGAGGUGAGUGUGAGUGCGAGUGAGUGCGAGUGGAAGUGAGUAUGAAUGAGUGCCAGUGAGUGCGAGUGGAAGUGAGUGUGAGUGCGAGUGAGUGCCAGUGAGUGUGAGUGGAAGUGAGUGCGAGUGCCAGAGAGUGCCAGUGACUGUGAGUGGAAGUGAGUGCGAGUGUGAGUGAGUGCCAAUGAGUGUGAGUGCAGGUGAGUGCGAGUGAGUGCCAGUGAGUGUGAGUGCAGGUGAUGCGAGUGUGAGUACUAGUGAGUGUGAGUGCAGGUGAGUGCGAGUGCGAGUGAGUGCCAAUGAGUGUGAGUGCGAGUGAGUGCCAAUGAGUGUGAGUGCAGGUGAGUGCGAGUGAGUGCCUGUGAGUGUGAGUGCAGGUGAUGCGAGUGUGAGUGAGUACUAGUGAGUGUGAGUGCAGGUGAGUGCGAGUGCGAG